ACACGCAAACUCCAAAUAUACAAGCGUCAGGGUCGAUCAAACCCACCACCAGUUGAGCUGCUCCAAACCCAAGAGUCAAGAAAUAAAUCAUGGGAGAACAUCUCUCAUGUCUUGGUAAGGCCCACCGAAGCAACCUGGUGUGAGAAGUGGCAGCUCAACGGGGUGUCACGUGCAAAUGUAUAGGAGGGAAAACCCGGAGGACCUGGAGAAACACCAA